UCUUGCACUAAGUGAUCUCACAGGAGGGAGGUUGGGGAGACAGACAGAGUAGGGUUUUGUACUCUUUUAGACAUUACAGUAGAUUGAUGUUGUCGUCAGCUUGUGAAUAAUUACUGCACCGCGCAUGCGCAGCCAGUUACGAUGGUCAAGUUACGAGCUGCUGACGACUUGUGAGCGAGGAAUUCGGUCGAGUCUCGUGUAGUCGCGGGAGGCUGCCAAGGAGAAAGAUCAGACAGACGGAGACCAACCGUCUGGGGGAUCUCAGUGCCAGCGGCCGUACGACGUAGAGCUCGCGGAUCCUCGUGAACUUACAAGGGCGGGUAACUUCCGCUAGCGAGCUGCGCAGCGCUUCCCAGCGGUAACCUCAGGCUUCAGAUGGGAUGUAGGGGUUGUGUAAGGGGGCACGUAGGGGAGGUCAGUCUGCAAGUCGCGGAAUUAUCUGCCCCAGAAAAUCAGCGGAUGGUGAUCUCGUCUCUUCAAGACUCCCAUGGACAACUGUGACGUCAUGGGUGUAGCCUCACUUUGAGUGUAAGUGUCUCGAGAUCGAUGAGUAGAGAAGGGGCGUGUCAGCAUUGUUGUGACCUCCACAUGAACUUUCUAUACCAGAGAGCUGGACAUGUCCUCUGUUGAUGUCUCCUGUUGUUUUAAUUACCUCGCUGUAUGCUCAACGCUUUAUGUGACAAAGGUGAUGAGGAGGAACAGACACCAGGACUGACUUUCUUUUUUAAUGACUGGCGAUGGUUCAUUGAGGGGUCACGUUCAGUCCUAUUGGAGAGAACCUCCCCCCAACCCGCCUCUGCAUGGGGGGUUCUUUCGUGUCUUCUCACUAAAGAUUUGCCUUCGCUCAAUGCUGCAAGAUAUUAGCAGAUGGUAAAAGGAAGAGAGAGAGACAGAGACAAAGCCACCGAAACAGAGACAGAGAUGCAGAAACAGAGGGAAAUACACAGAAAGAGAGAGAAAAAAGGAGUGGAAGAGAUAUGGAAGAAAAACAGCGAAAGAGAAAGACCAGUCAUCCAUUAUAUCCAUGGACACAUAAUGAAAGGGAGGGUGGAGGGCAUCCUGAUGGCGAAGGGUUAAGGCUGUACCGGCGAGAAACAAUGCAAAUUCCACAGGAAUGCCUGCACGUGCGACGGCAAGAUACAUCGUAAACAAGCAGAUGAGUUAACCUGGUUUUGAAGCCUCCGAUGGGUUGGCAGUUAACCCACCUGUUAGCAGAGACCUCGGGGCAAUACAGGUGGGAAAAAAACAGUAAAAAUGUUUUCUUUGGCAUAAACAGUGGUAGAAAGGGCUAUUCCAUCAGAUUUAUUUGAUUCCUAAAAAAGGCAGUAAAAAGGAGA
rnacentral:misc_RNA from 1 species